AGCGAACGCUGGCGGUAGGCCUAACACAUGCAAGUCGAACGGCAGCACAGUAAGAGCUUGCUCUUACGGGUGGCGAGUGGCGGACGGGUGAGGAAUACAUCGGAAUCUACUUUUUCGUGGGGGAUAACGUAGGGAAACUUACGCUAAUACCGCAUACGAUCUACGGGUGAAAGCAGGGGAUCUUCGGACCUUGUGCGAUUGAACGAGCCGAUGUCGGAGUAGCUAGUUGGCGGGGUAAAGGCCCACCAAGGCGACGAUCCGUAGCUGGUCUGAGAGGAUGAUCAGCCACACUGGAACUGAGACACGGUCCAGACUCCUACGGGAGGCAGCAGUGGGGAAUAUUGGACAAUGGGCGCAAGCCUGAUCCAGCCAUACCGCGUGUGUGAAGAAGGCCUUCGGGUUGUAAAGCCCUUUUGUUGGGAAAGAAAAGCAGCAGGUUAAUACCCCGCUGUUCUGACGGUACCCAAAGAAUAAGCACCGGCUAACUUCGUG
rnacentral:rRNA from 1 species